rnacentral:rRNA from 1 species
AUUGAACGCUGGCGGCAGGCCUAACACAUGCAAGUCGAACGAGUGGCGGACGGGUGAGUAAUGUCUGGGAAACUGCCUGAUUGAGGGGGAUCACUACUGGAAACGGUCUCUAAUACCGCAUACCAUCGGAUGUGCCCAGAUGGGAUUAGCUAGUAGGUGGGGUAAAGGCUCACCUAUGCGACGAUCCCUAGCUGGUCUGAGAGGAUGACCAGCCACACGGGAACGGAGACACGGUCAAGACUCCUACGGGAGGCAGAAGUGGGGAAUAUUGCACAAUGGGCGCAAGCCUGAGGCAGCAAUGCCGCGUGUAUGAAGAAGGCCUUCGGGUUGUAAAGUACUUUCAGCGGGGAGGCGUUACCCGCAGAAGAAGCACCGGCUAACUCCGUGCCAGCCGCCGCGGUAAUAC